GACAGAGGGUGCAAACGUUGUUCGGAAUUACUGGGCGUAAAGCGCGUGUAGGCGGCACGGCAUGUCGGAUGUGAAAUCCCAUGGCUCAACCAUGGAAGUGCACCCGAAACUGCCGAGCUGGAGUCUCGGAGAGGAAGGCGGAAUGCUUGGUGUAGAGGUGAAAUUCGUAGAUAUCAAGCGGAACACCGGUGGCGAAGGCGGCCUUCUGGACGAUGACUGACGCUGAGACGCGAAAGCGUGGGGAGCAAACAGG
rnacentral:rRNA from 1 species